UCAGCAAUUAUCCGUUCGAUCGCCAAUUAGUCAUGACUUGUUAUCCAUAAAGCCAGCGCCAGCCAAACGUUGAUCAGUUGCUCAGCAGUCGCGUCGCGAAUCGGUUCCCUUCCAGAUGGAGUUGUUUUAUUUCGCAAUAAUUCUGUUUUGCCUGUGUCUCCAUCUCACGGCAAGGAUUUUCAAGUGCAUUGGUAAUGAUCUGAAGUUCUUUCUUGACUUGCUCAUAUGCAUUUUCAAGGUGUCCUUCAAUUUAUGUAAAUCACUAUUAAAUCUGUUGCGGUCAAUCAUAAAUUAAUUGAAUAACAAAAUAUAAAAUAUUAACAAUAAUACAAUACGAAAAUCAGCCGACUAAAAUUUUCAGUGCAAUCAAUUAAAAUCGGUGGAACCCCAAUGUCAGAAAACCACAAGGCUGAAACAGCAUAUUACCCCUCGAUCAUACGCAAUAUAAUUCAUAAAUAUGUAUAUAGAUAUAUCCAAUUAGAUAUAAUAAAUUAAACGCAUCCAAAUAAUUGUAAUGUUUAUAUAAAUAAUCCAAAAUGUUGUUAGAUAUAGCGGAAAUUAUGUGCAAUAAAAUAAAAAUGGAAUAAACUAAA